GCCAGGUGCAGGGGCGCACGCCUGUAAUCCCAAAAGCUCAGGAGGCUGAGGCAGGAGGAUCAUGAGUUCAAAGCCAGCCUCAGCAAUAUGGAGGCUCUAAGCAACUCAGUGAGACCCUGUCUCUA
rnacentral:sRNA from 1 species